GCUUUUGGUCUGGAAGAUAUUUCUGAUGAGGAAGUCAUUUUUGCUGAGCUCACUCUUCUCUUUUGUACCUUUUCCCAUAUCUAAUUUCUCACCAAAACUGCUACAGAGCAGGUAAAAAUAGCUUUUCAAAGUUAAGGCGACCCAGAUGUCAGACUGAUCCCACUCUCAUUAGCUGGAGCAUCCUUUCAUCGGCUCAUUUAGUCUUACUGAUAACUUUCUGAGGCAAGUUCAAAAUGUCCUAAAAGCAGCUAUUUCCUGACUUGCAAAACAGUGCACUUGGAUUACCGGACUGAUGGGAGAUUGGAUGAGGCCUUCCUGGAACUAUUUCUCUUUAUCACAAACUGUGACAGAAGAAGGAAAGGCCACAUCCUUGUGGGCCAGGCUACAGAUGACCACAGAAAAGGCAACUGUGAGUUUCCCACAGUUCAAGAACCCCCAGACCCAGGGAGCUGGUCCUCCCUACAGACUCAGCAUUUCUAAUGGACAGUGUUUCUUUCACACAAGAAAUAUUCACCAGUGGAUCAAAGUUAAGAAGCAACCAGGGAAGGGCAGGGCUUAAUGCUGGACAGCGGAUGGGACAGUGCGGGGGCUACAAUCCCGCGCCAUGCCUCUCCCCUUGGACCACCACCUGCUUCACGUCCUCCCUCAGGAGGGCCUCAGCAUCCUGGGACCCGAAGCAGAGAGAUGGUUGACAUUCUUAUAGCCAGGACACCAUGCUCUUUGCAAGUCCUGGUCCUAAGGCAACAGCACACGGUGGGAGAGGAGGAGGCGGCCCCACCCAUGAGAGGGGCCUCGGGCUGGCUGGGAUGCUGGACAAAGGAGGUCCUGGUACCAGCCAACUAGAGGUCAGAGCUAGGGGAUCCCAACGUUGCCACAACCCCCCUCUGCCCUGGGGCCCCUCUCAUUUGUCCUUCAGCUCUGUGAGGAGGGGGAGGUUUCCAGGCAAGGCACGAGCCCGGAUGCAAGGCUGCCUUUUGGAUCAGGUUGGUCCUCUCCCACAGACCAGAUAACCCCACUCCUGAUCUGUUGAGAUUCUGGAGAAAGGAUAAACUUGCCUCCCUCCAACACACACACACACACACACACACAAUGUCAGGAGCAGAGAGACCCUGGCCCCGCCCCCACUGCAGCCCCCAAUCCCUCACUCCAAAGAAGAGGGCAGAGGCCAGAUAAGUGAUGACAUCCUGCCUCCAGCAAAUGUUCUGGGCUGUUCUUCGCGGAAAAUUAAAAAGCUAACCUUCCCCAAGAAUCCAGGGAAAGAUCACAUCCUACAGAGGCCCCCAGACUUCUACCUUGAACCAGACUAGAGAAAGAACGCCAGUUCCCCCAUUCUUUUCGACAUCUGCCUAAAGCCACAGUAAUUCUGAAAUCAGUAAUUCAGAAUCAGUAAUUCACAGUAAUUCUGGUCGUGUCUGGGUCCACGACCAGAGAUGAGCCAGCUGCGGACAACCCCUACCUGGAUGGCCCCCGGCCGGUCCCACAGGACCUGGGCCAAAACUACGCCCUGCUUUGUGGCUGCAGCUAAAACAGAUCACAAGUAUCUGCUGAGAAACUCAACUGCUUGGCCCAAUUCCCCGGGGCAACCCCGCUUUCUUGUAAUCCUGGAGAACCCUUGCUGGCACAAAGCAAACACAAAUGCGUGUGUGUGUGUAUUUGGAAGACUCUUUAUAUAAACAGGUUCACAAAUCAGAGGAAAUAGCCCUCUGUAGACCAAUAGUCUGAUUUUUGGUUUGGAAAUUAUGGUCCCUAUAAAUACACGCCAGGACAGACUUUUAUAUUUUGAACGCAAAUAUUUACAUUCCAAACAAAGGAGCAGGGAGCCUGAAGACAAGCUAUUUACACCAGCUAUAAGAAACACAAACAGCCCCCACAUUUCUUGCCUGAGUUAAAGGCUCCGCCUUCUAUUCCUGAAACACCAACCAAAUUUCCACAACAUUUAUCCCCAAGACUCUCAAGACACACACGCACAAACUGUGGUUACUACCUUUUAAUAGCCCCAAAACCUACUGUCAGGAAAUCCACAGUUAUUGCAUUAGGCUCUUGACUCCUUGAGAAAUUUAGUGACAGGCAUGAACGAACUCUCCCGCACCAGGCUACCAGUGUGGGGGUCCUGUUCUGUCUCCUGGGUGCACCCCCAGGCCCCCUGAGGCCCACAGGAAACCCAUCACAGUCCUCUCUCUCCAGGACAAACUGGCUUUUGAUGCAUUAACUCAACCAACAGCAGUUUCUCCUAAUUGCACGGCACCCCGAGACGACGUCACCCUGGAGAGGCCUGCCAGGCCGAGGAGAGUGGACCACAUCCAGGAAAACCAGAAGGAACACGGUAUAAAGUAGGAUGGGGUCAAGGUUGAGUUCAAUAGGGUAGAACCACAGACGCUCAGAGGAUGGUAACCCCUGCAUGGGAGGAGGUGGAAAGAUGGAAGAACUACUGGCAAAGCUUCCUGAAGGCGGUGAUGGGGGUGGGGGUGGGGGAUGGGGAGAAGGGGGGGAAGGGGAGGGCCCAUAAAGGUUUAGGUCUCCUAGGUUUAGGAGAGGGAACCAAGAGGAGGCGGGAAAGCUUCUUCGGCUCAGGCCACCCGGCUAGGGGUCAGCCAGUGGCUCCGCCCCCGCCUUGUAAAUUACACUUGUGCAGCCUUGAGAUCAAGGGCUAAUCAUUAUCUCAAUCUGGCUCAUCCUGUCCACACUCGGCAGAUAACAGCACCUGGUUGACAGGGUCGCCUGGUAAUCUCAGGUCCCCCUCAAUGUCCUUAUCAGCCACAUUGCUAAAGUUGUCCCUAUCAACUUCAUACCUAAUAGGUGCCACGUGUCAGCCCCCCACCCCCCUCCAUGGGUCAGCUCUGCAGCUCUACUCCCUCGAACCCAAACGUGACCCCAUCUUAUUUGCUGUGUGUAUGGGAGGGGAACGCUCCUUGCCCACAUGUGAUGGGCCCCACCUCGUGGAGCGAGCGCGUGGGUACCAUCACCUGUGUCUACACGAGCCAGGAGCGUUCAAGGAGGAUGAGGAUCUGGGCUUUUUCCCACACAGAGUCAGCACUGCCCCCUGCUGGCUGCCCCAGGGAGGAAGGGAGCCCGGCUGGAGAGGCUGCGGCUUUGCCAUCAUUCUGCCUGAGGCUCAGGGGAGAUCAGCCGGCCUCACUGCCCAGCUCUCCCUUUUACGAUGCCCACUGGCCACCGGUUCAAUCCCAUUCUCCGACGUCCGCUUCCAUGAGGAGCAAACGCUGCAGUGUCACCUUCAUCCAUCCUCCUCCUCCCCCCUCUCUCCAUAGGCUCAGAACUUGGCCAGGAAAGAGGGGCUCAAUUUGGGGAGCGCCCUUGAACCCUAACUUGUAGGAAUGGUACUCAACUCACACGACAAGGUAGAGAUUAUUAACCUCCAUUUUACGGAGGAGGAAACCGAAGUACGAGGAGAUGAAACCACUUGCCCGGGGUCUUGGUGAUGGAAAUAAAGACACACCCAGGCUCACCCCACCACCUGCGCUGCCCCUCCAACACCCAGGCUAAAAGAACAUCCAAGGAGGGGGCCCCCAACCUUUGAGGGAUCGGAGAACGAGGAUGCCGGCCCAACUCACUCCAUUCGGCCUCAGUGGCCAAGCAGGGCUGCCCAGACCUCUUUCAACAGGGGUGAGGCGGACCCUCAGACUCUGAAACACCUUCCAACCUCACAGCAGGUGCGCCACAGGCCAGACCCUCGGGGCAGCUCCCUUGGAGGGCAUGGCAGAGCAGGACCGGGCGUCCCCUGAGCUGCCCUGGAAGGGACGGACUCACCACCUCCCAAGGCCUUUCCUUCCCUCAGAGGCUCUACCCACUGUCUUUUUGACCACAGGGAGCACAAGGGACCAACAGGCUCAUAUUCCAUCUCAAGAGAAGACUGUACAUUAUAGGAAAAAAUAAUCACGCCUGCCCUGCCAUCUUAUUCCUUGCCCUGUUGGGGUAUUUUCCAGGCACCUGGGUGACUAGCCUGCCUGUUUCAAUAUUUUUAUCACAAACAUAAUUCUGGAAAGCGUCCCAGUUUCCAUUAUCAUGAAACUCUCUGCCUUUGAGGAUCUGCCAACUUAUUUUCUUCGGGGACCCAAAAGGCCUGGACCAGGGCAAACUCUAGAAAUGUUGAAUCGGUGGCAGGGAGAGCCUGCCCCAGAAAGAAGGUCCCCUCACACCUUUUUGUGUGUGUGUGUAUCUUUUUGUCUUUUUGCCAUUCCUUGGGCCGCUUCUGCGGCAUAUGGAGGUUCCCAGGCUAGGGGUCGAAUCGGAGCUGUAGCCACUGGCCUACACCAGAGCCACAGCAACGCAGGAUCCGAGCCGCGUCUGCAACCUACACCACAGCUCACAGCAACGCCAGAUCCUUAACCCACUGAGCAAGGCCAGGGAUUGAACCCGCAACCUCAUGGUUCCUAGUUGGAUUUGUUAACCGCUGAGCCACGACAGGAACUCCACCUCCUCACACCUUUUAAGAUUAGAGUGGAGCUCAGGAUGUAGCAUUCCAAAGCAGGCUACCCCAGAACAUUCCCAAGGAAAGCUCCCUGCUCUGCCCUCGGCUUCAUCGCAACCAGCAGGAGCACAGAAAAGCUGAGGCACGGCCUGUGCAUGGUGUCGGCUGAAAGCAUCUCAGAAGGCAGCUGUUUAUCCAGCCACCUCCUUGCACAGACGAAGGAACAGCCCAGAGAGGUCACCCAGCCUGAUCAAAAUCAAGGCGUCCUGGAGCCCCUGGCCUUAACAGUGUCAGAGAAGCCCUUAGAGGCAGAAUACGCCAGAAGGCAUCCCCCGCCCCAAGAAAUAUACACAUCUACAAAAAAAAAAAAAAAAAAGAAAUAUACACAUCUACAUAAAAACCUGUAGUGCGAUUUUAGGGAGAGCAGAGACAUCUUUGGUCCCUGGUCAUCAGCUCCAGAGCUAAAGAAUACUACCGGGGGAGCGAAGGUUUACUGUAUGCCAGGCACCAAUGCAAGCACCUGGCAGGUGGCAAAUAAGGCCAGAGCUGAAGUCACCCCAGAGCACUCUCACCUCAGAGUGGCUCACCCAGGCUCCCACUGCACCCUCAGUGGCAGUGUUAUGUAACUCUGCAGGUUCUGCCUCCCUCACUGCUCUGAGCACCGCCUCUGGGCCCCCACGCACCUGCUUCUGGGCCCGCACCUGGAGGAAGGCGUAAAGGCUGCGCAGAGCUGCUGAUGGUGAAAGAGGCAGCUUGCUUUCUGCUUUUAGAUUUUUUUUUUUUUUUUUUUUUUUUUUUUUUGCUUUUAAGGGCCACACCCAUGGCAUACAAAAGUUCCCAGGCUAGGGGUCAAAUCAGAGCUACAGCUGCCAGCUGACACUACAGUCACAGCAACGCGGGACCUGAGCCAUGUCUGCGACCUACACCACAACUCACGGCAGCACCAGAUCCUUGACCGACUGAGCGAGGCCAGGGAUCGAACCCACAACCUCAUGGUUCCUAGUCGGAUUCGUUAACCACUGAGCCAUGAAGGGAACGUCUGCUUUUAAAGAAACUCCUCUCUCCUACAAACGGGUUCCAAAUGACACCUCUGCCAUCCUGGACCUGCUGAGGCCUGGGGACCAGGACAGGAUCUGGACGUGGGGACAGGAACAGAGAGCUGGCGACCACAGCAAUCGUCCAUUCAUCUGGGAGUUUCCAGAGGCUCCCGCUCCACAGGGUGGGAGGAGCUG
rnacentral:lncRNA from 1 species